CUUGGCAUUGACAAGACAGAGGGAAUCAGAAUCAUGAAGGCAGGAAAAGACCUCAAAGAUCAUCCAGUCCAACCGUGCACCUACCACCACCGUUUCCUCACUAAACCAUGUCCCUUAGUUCAGCAUUUAAACAUUUCCUCAAGUUGCGUAACCGUUGGGGUUAUGGCAACUGAUAAAAAUGAUGGGAUGGAAAAUAAUGAGUUUCCUCAUAGGAGACACUCAUCUUGAGCUGUCAAUCUGAAGAACUGCAAACAGAUGAGGACAACGGAACGUCCAUCAGGUCUAUUGAAAAAACAUGGCAAGUUUCACAUUCAUGGAUAUCCUGUGCAAUAGCGUCCUUGAUCCAGACCCUGUUUCUGUAUUGCAUCUCUUCCUUGUUGGCCUGGGGUGUCAUGGGCCCGCUGAGCAAGAAAAAAUUCCUUCUUGAGGUUGUCAAGGCACUAUAAAAGUUUGCCAAGCAAAGUUGUGGAUGCCCCAUCCGUGGAGGUGUUCAAGGCCUGGUUGGGUGGUGUCCUGGGCUGCUUGGCCUGGCCCAGUGGGUGGCAUCCCUGCGCGCAGUGGUGGGGUUGGACGUACCAAUUCUUUAAUGUCCCUUCCAAGCCAAGACAUUCUCUGGUGCUGUGAUUCUAUGAUGUAACCGUGAAAAAUCUCAGCUGUGGUUUUUUUCUAGGUGUCAGGGAAUCGUCCCCCACUGUGAUGGUGCCCACAGCAAGGGACAGAGCUCUGCGCCUGCCCUGGGAGGACUCUCACCCUCCUGAGCUGCCCAACAGGAUGUGCUCACUGAGAGAGGUGGCUACACUGCAGCUUCGCUGCCACGGUUGCACCCAAAUAGACCCUGCUCUCCCCAGAUGAGGUGCCCCAAGCAGCCCUGGUGCAGCACAUCACAAGACAAGGGGACCCUCCACCCAGCAUCACGAGUCCAUGAAGUUGCAGUGCCCCACCUUGCUGUGCUGUGCCGUGAGGUCAUAAGGCCCAUCUGUGACAUCUGCCCCAUGCUAGAGGAUCACUCUGUGCCUGCCCUGACAGCAGCACUUGCUGUGGCUGCAGCAGCUGUGGUGGCAGCAUGGCACGAGUGUGGGGGUCCGUGGCCCCUGUCGGUCUCGUCGUCAUCCUCCUACUUACCGGCAUGUGUUCCCAGGAGAGCUUUGCUGCUCCGUGGCGAGCACCGGGAGCAGGUGGGUGGGCA
ensembl:lncRNA